AUGGGAGUCACCUGGAGAGACUGUUAAAAUGCAGAUUCUAAUCAAUAGGUCAGGGUCAAAUGCAGCCUAAAAUUCUGCAUUUUUAACAAGCUCCCAGAGGAUGCUGAG
rnacentral:miRNA from 1 species